GACGAACGCUGGCGGCACGCUUAACACAUGCAAGUCGAACGAGAUCCUCGGAGCUUGCUCCGAGGGGACAGUGGCGAACGGGUGAGUAACACGUGAGAAACCUGCCCCGAAGACCGGGAUAACACCGGGAAACCGGUGCUAAUACCGGAUGCCCUCACCGAACCGCAUGGUCGGGUGAGGAAAUGGAUUCCGCUUCGGGAUGGUCUCGCGGCCUAUCAGCUUGUUGGUGGGGUAACGGCCCACCAGGGCUUCGACGGGUAGCUGGUCCGAGAGGAUGUCCAGCCACACUGGGACUGAGACACGGCCCAGACUCCUACGGGAGGCAGCAGUGGGGAAUCUUGCGCAAUGGGCGAAAGCCUGACGCAGCGAUGCCGCGUGCGGGAUGAAGGCCUUCGGGUUGUAAACCGCUUUCAGCAGGGA
rnacentral:rRNA from 1 species